rnacentral:lncRNA from 11 species
GGCUGUGGAAUUGCCUUUCACAGGGAGCUAUGCUGGUCUCCUCUCUCUUCACCGGCAGUUGUGGAAAGAAAGGAGAUUCUGAACUGAAGAGAUGGCAAACUGGACUACGAG